GCAUCAGUGGUUUAGUGGUAAAAUCCAUCGUUGCCAUCGAUGGGCCCCGUGUUCGAUUCACGGCUGAUGCAA
rnacentral:tRNA from 2 species